AUUGAACGCUGGCGGCAUGCCUUACACAUGCAAGUCGAACGGUAACGGGUCCUUCGGGAUGCCGACGAGUGGCGAACGGGUGAGUAAUAUAUCGGAACGUGCCCAGUAGUGGGGGAUAACUGCUCGAAAGAGCAGCUAAUACCGCAUACGACCUGAGGGUGAAAGGGGGGGAUCGCAAGACCUCUCGCUAUUGGAGCGGCCGAUAUCAGAUUAGCUAGUUGGUGGGGUAAAGGCCUACCAAGGCAACGAUCUGUAGUUGGUCUGAGAGGACGACCAGCCACACUGGGACUGAGACACGGCCCAGACUCCUACGGGAGGCAGCAGUGGGGAAUUUUGGACAAUGGGCGCAAGCCUGAUCCAGCAAUGCCGCGUGCAGGAAGAAGGCCUUCGGGUUGUAAACUGCUUUUGUCAGGGAAGAAAUCUUCUGGGCUAAUACCCCGGGAGGAUGACGGUACCUGAAGAAUAAGCACCGGCUAACUACGUGCCAGCAGCCGCGGUAAUACGUAGGGUGCGAGCGUUAAUCGGAAUUACUGGGCGUAAAGCGUGCGCAGGCGGCUUUGCAAGACAGAUGUGAAAUCCCCGGGCUCAACCUGGGAACUGCAUUUGUGACUGCAAGGCUAGAGUACGGCAGAGGGGGAUGGAAUUCCGCGUGUAGCAGUGAAAUGCGUAGAUAUGCGGAGGAACACCAAUGGCGAAGGCAAUCCCCUGGGCCUGUACUGACGCUCAUGCACGAAAGCGUGGGGAGCAAACAGGAUUAGAUACCCUGGUAGUCCACGCCCUAAACGAUGUCAACUGGUUGUUGGACGGCUUGCUGUUCAGUAACGAAGCUAACGCGUGAAGUUGACCGCCUGGGGAGUACGGCCGCAAGGUUGAAACUCAAAGGAACUGACGGGGACCCGCACAAGCGGUGGAUGAUGUGGUUUAAUUCGAUGCAACGCGAAAAACCUUACCUACCCUUGACAUGUCAAGAAUUCUGCAGAGAUGUGGAAGUGCUCGAAAGAGAACUUGAACACAGGUGCUGCAUGGCCGUCGUCAGCUCGUGUCGUGAGAUGUUGGGUUAAGUCCCGCAACGAGCGCAACCCUUGUCAUUAGUUGCUACGCAAGAGCACUCUAAUGAGACUGCCGGUGACAAACCGGAGGAAGGUGGGGAUGACGUCAGGUCCUCAUGGCCCUUAUGGGUAGGGCUACACACGUCAUACAAUGGCCGGUACAGAGGGCUGCCAACCCGCGAGGGGGAGCCAAUCCCAGAAAACCGGUCGUAGUCCGGAUCGUAGUCUGCAGCUCGACUGCGUGAAGUCGGAAUCGCUAGUAAUCGCGGAUCAGCUUGCCGCGGUGAAUACGUUCCCGGGUCU
rnacentral:rRNA from 1 species